rnacentral:rRNA from 1 species
CACGUAGGGGGCGAGCGUUGUCCGGAUUCAUUGGGCGUAAAGAGCUCGUAGGCGGCUCAGCAAGUCGGGUGUGAAACCUCCAGGCUCAACCUAGAGACGCCACUCGAUACUGCUGUGGCUAGAGUCCAGUAGGGGAGCGUGGAAUUCCUGGUGUAGCGGUGAAAUGCGCAGAUAUCAGGAGGAACACCGAUGGCGAAGGCAGGUCUCUGGGCCACUACUGACGCUGAGAAGCGAAAGCAUGGGGAGCGAACAGG